CCUACGGGUGGCAGCAGUGGGGAAUAUUGGACAAUGGGCGAAAGCCUGAUCCAGCCAUGCCGCGUGUGUGAAGAAGGCCUUCGGGUUGUAAAGCACUUUCAGUGGGGAAGAAAGCCUUGGGGCUAAUACCCUCGAGGAAGGACAUCACCCACAGAAGAAGCACCGGCUAACUCCGUGCCAGCAGCCGCGGUAAUACGGAGGGUGCGAGCGUUAAUCGGAUUUACUGGGCGUAAAGCGCGCGUAGGCGGUCUGAUAAGCCGGUUGUGAAAGCCCCGGGCUCAACCUGGGAACGGCAUCCGGAACUGUCAGGCUAGAGUGCAGGAGAGGAAGGUAGAAUUCCCGGUGUAGCGGUGAAAUGCGUAGAGAUCGGGAGGAAUACCAGUGGCGAAGGCGGCCUUCUGGACUGACACUGACGCUGAGGUGCGAAAGCGUGGGUAGCAAACAGGAUUAGAUACCCGAGUAGUC
rnacentral:rRNA from 1 species